rnacentral:rRNA from 1 species
AUACGUAGGGGGCGAGCGUUGUCCGGAAUGAUUGGGCGUAAAGGGCGCGUAGGCGGCCCGGUAAGUCUGGAGUGAAAGUCCUGUUUUUAAGAUGGGAAUUGCUUUGGAUACUGUCGGGCUUGAGUGCAGGAGAGGUAAGUGGAAUUCCCAGUGUAGCGGUGAAAUGCGUAGAGAUUGGGAGGAACACCAGUGGCGAAGGCGACUUACUGGACUGUAACUGACGCUGAGGCGCGAAAGUGUGGGGAGCAAACAGGAUUAGAUACCCUGGUAGUCCACACUGUAAACGAUGAAUGCUAGGUGUAGGGGGUAUCGACCCCUUCUGUGCCGCAGUCAACACAAUAAGCAUUCCGCCUGGGGAGUACGGCCGCAAGGUUAAAACUCAAAUGAAUUGGCGGGG